rnacentral:lncRNA from 10 species
CGGCGGGGUCCCAGCCCCUCGCCGGCUUGCUGUAGAGGCAGGCGCCGGGUGUGUCGCGGCAGUGCAGCGGCCGCGAAGGGGUGUUUUGCUGUAUGUCAUAUUCCUCGUUUCGCCAGAGCGGGGGUCCCGAGCUUCGGGCGCGGGACGCGGGGGUGCUCCGAGGCUGCGAGUGGAGGCGUGACGUGACGUCCCUGGCAAGAGGCGCGCGGAGUCAGGCCUUACUUAGAACGUGUUCCCGCCGCACAGCUACCAGCGGGCGCGACCGCUACCCACGCAUGGUGCGGUCGAGUAAACGGCACCGCCUGGCGAGCGAGAGACGCAAAGGGACAUAGCCCCCUAGGAGCUGAGCUCUUCGGGGGUAAAGCGUUCUCACGUUGAUGAGACCAGGAGGCGGCGCACGCCUGGCUCCGCGGCCCAGGGGUUGCAGGUGCCCCAGGGUUCGCGGGGCGCAGACGCCGCAGAGGGCGACGCCCUGCCCGGGUCCCGCGCGGACCCGGGGGACGCAGGGUCUGACACGGAGUGCGGAGGGGCCCCAGACACGCAGUCCAUGUCCCUUGAAACCAGAGGCACGCGCGGCCACGCGCUAGGCCUUUCCCUUAAGCCUGUGACCAAGAUCUCCGGGACUCCCAGCGUUGGGACGGGCGCGCUGGCCCACGCCCAAGCGGGAGGAUCGCUUGCGCCCAGGAGAUUGAGACCAGCCUGAGCACCAAAGCGAGACCUCGUCUCUACAAAAAAUAAGACUCAAGAAGACACCCAGGGUGAAUCGCCCGUCUGCAGCCAGCCUCCCGAGCACCGUGGCCGCGUCUGACAACUGACCUCUGUGUCUGGGUGUCCCUGUCCUCAGAGGGACACGGGACCUCAGAAAGGACCACAGCCCGGCGGCAGGCAUGAUGGUGGGAAAGCUAGUUAGGACAGCCCAAACCUGCAAGCAACCCAAGUACUCAUCAGCAGGUGAAUAAACAAACUGGCACAUCCACACUGCGGAACACGGCUCAACCCCCAGGAGGACCCGGCGCGGAGCCCGGCUCAACCCUGAAGAGGAUUUCACUACUGACACACACGACAUCACAGGUGACUCUGGGAGCAAUCAGGUUCAGUGAGAGAAGCCGGACAAAAAAGAGUGCGUACCUUAUGACUCCACUUACAUAAAAUCCUAGAAAAUACAAACACCAGGCAGGCGCGGUGGCUCACCGCUGUAAUCCCCGCACUUCGGGAGGCCGAGGCAGGCACAUCACUUGAAGUCAGGAAUAUGAGACCCGCCUGGCCAACAUGGCAAAACCCCAUCUCUACUAAAAAUACAAAAAUUACCCUGGCGUGGUGGCACACGCCUGUAGUCCCAGCUACUCGGGAGGCUGAGGCAACCUGGGAGGCAGAGAUUUCAGUGAGCUGAGAUCACACCACGGCACUCCAGCCUGGGUGACAGAGACUCCAUCUCAAAAAAUAAAAAUAAAAAACAUAAAUAGCAACAGAGAGCAAAUCAGCAGUCGCUUGGGAAAUAAGGGGUAGGGAUGGGUGAGAGGGAGGGAUUACCAGGUACACGUGCAGCCUGGAUAGUGCUGAGGGCUUCACGACGUAGACGCAUCAGCCUCAUCAAAUUACACACUCUACCUAUGUGCGGUUUGCCUUGUGUCAACUGUGUAUCCAUAAAGCUAUCAACAAAAACUGCCUGCAAACUAUUUUUAACUGACAACUUUUUUUUUUUUUUGGGAUGGAGUCUCGCUCUGUUGCCCAGGCUGGAGUGCACUGGCGCGAUCUUGGCUCACUGCAACCUACGCCUCCUGGGUUCAAGCGAUCCUCCUGCCUCAGCCUCCUGAGUAGCUGGGACUACAGGUGUCCACCACCACGCCCGACUAAUUUUUGUAUUGUUAGUAGAGAUGGAGUUUCACCAUGUUGGUCAGGCUGGUCGCGAACUCCUGACCUCAAGUGAUCCACCGCCUUGGCCUCCAAAAGUGCUGGAAUUAUAGGUAUGAGCCACUGCACCUGGCCAGACAACUGU